GACAGAGGGUGCAAACGUUUGUUCGGAAUUACUGGGCGUAAAGCGUGUGUAGGCGGCCUCGUAAGUCGGAUGUGAAAGCCCCAGGCUUAACCUGGGAAGUGCACUCGAAACUGCGAGGCUUGAGUAUCGGAGAGGUUGGUGGAAUUCUCGGUGUAGAGGUGAAAUUCGUAGAUAUCGAGAGGAACACCGGUGGCGAAGGCGGCCAACUGGACGAAUACUGACGCUGAGACACGAAAGCGUGGGGAGCAAACAGG
rnacentral:rRNA from 1 species